GGACGCAAGUCUGAUGGAGCAACGCCGCGUGAGUGAAGAAGGCUUUCGGGUCGUAAAACUCUGUUGUUGGAGAAGAAUGGUCGGCAGAGUAACUGUUGUCGGCGUGACGGUAUCCAACCAGAAAGCCACGGCUAACUACGUGCCAGCAGCCGCGGUAAUACGUAGGUGGCAAGCGUUAUCCGGAUUUAUUGGGCGUAAAGCGAGCGCAGGCGGUUUUUUAAGUCUGAUGUGAAAGCCCUCGGCUUAACCGAGGAAGUGCAUCGGAAACUGGGAAACUUGAGUGCAGAAGAGGACAGUGGAACUCCAUGUGUAGCGGUGAAAUGCGUAGAUAUAUGGAAGAACACCAGUGGCGAAGGCGGCUGUCUGGUCUGUAACUGACGCUGAGGCUCGAAAGCAUGGGUAGCGAACAGGAUUAGAUACCCUGGUAGUCCAUGCCGUAAACGAUGAAUGCUAGGUGUUGGAGGGUUUCCGCCCUUCAGUGCUGCAGCUAACGCAUUAAGCAUUCCGCCUGGGGAGUACGACCGCAAGGUUGAAACUCAAAGGAAUUGACGGGGGCCCGCACAAGCGGUGGAGCAUGUGGUUUAAUUCGAAGCAACGCGAAGAACCUUACCAGGUCUUGACAUCUUUUGAUCACCUGAGAGAUCAGGUUUCCC
rnacentral:rRNA from 2 species